rnacentral:rRNA from 1 species
GUUUGAUCCUGGCUCAGAACGAACGCUGGCGGCGCGUUUUAAGCAUGCAAGUCGAACGGCAGCUUUGGUAGCAAUACUGAGGCGAGAGUGGCGAACGGGUGAGUAAGACGUAGGUGAUCUACCCCUGGAUGGGGGAUAGUCCGUGGAAACACGGGGUAAUACCGCAUGAGGCCUUGUGGGUGAAGCCAUGAGGUGAAAGGUCCAAUUGGACCGUCUGGGGAUGAGCCUGCGGCCCAUUAGGCAGUUGGCGGGGUAACGGCCCACCAAACCGACGAUGGGUAGCCGGCCUGAGAGGGUGUACGGCCACACUGGAACUGAGACACGGUCCAGACUCCUACGGGAGGCAGCAGCUAAGAAUCUUCCGCAAUGGGGGAAACCCUGACGGAGCGACGCCGCGUGGACGAUGAAGGCCGUAAGGUUGUAAAGUCCUUUUGCAGGAGAAGAAUAAGCGUGGGAGUGGAAAGCCCGCGUGAUGACGUUAUCCUGCGAAUAAGCCCCGGCCAAUUACGUGCCAGCAGCCGCGGUAAUACGUAUGGGGCGAGCGUUGUUCGGAGUUAUUGGGCGUAAAGGGCGUGUAGGCGGCCCGAGAAGUCUGGUGUGAAAUCGCAGGGCUCAACCCUGCGGGUGCGCUGGAAACUGACGGGCUUGAGUCCCGGGGGGGAAGCUGGAAUUCCUGGUGUAGGAGUGAAAUCUGUAGAGAUCAGGAAGAACACCGGUGGCGAAGGCGAGCUUCUAUUCGAGGACUGACGCUGAGGCGCGAAAGCGUGGGGAGCAAACAGGA